rnacentral:tRNA from 1 species
GGCUCGUUGGUCUAGGGGUAUGAUUCUCGCUUAGGAUGCGAGAGGUCGAAGGUUCAAAUCCCGAAGAUCCU